rnacentral:rRNA from 1 species
UACGAAGGGGGCUAGCGUUGCUCGGAAUCACUGGGCGUAAAGCGCACGUAGGCGGCUUUCUAAGUCAGGGGUGAAAUCCUGGAGCUCAACUCCAGAACUGCCUUUGAUACUGGGAAGCUUGAGUCCGGAAGAGGUGAGUGGAACUGCGAGUGUAGAGGUGAAAUUCGUAGAUAUUCGCAAGAACACCAGUGGCGAAGGCGGCUCACUGGUCCGGUACUGACGCUGAGGUGCGGAAGCGUGGGGAGCAAACAGG